rnacentral:rRNA from 1 species
UACAGAGGGGGCAAGCGUUGUUCGGAAUUACUGGGCGUAAAGGGUGCGUAGGCGGGUCUUUAAGUCAGGGGUGAAAUCCUGGAGCUCAACUCCAGAACUGCCUUUGAUACUGAGGAUCUUGAGUAUGGGAGAGGUGAGUGGAACUGCGAGUGUAGAGGUGAAAUUCGUAGAUAUUCGCAAGAACACCAGUGGCGAAGGCGGCUCACUGGCCCAUUACUGACGCUGAGGAACGAAAGCUAGGGGAGCAAACGGG